rnacentral:lncRNA from 1 species
UGCUUCUGAAAAGCUUCAACCAGAAGACCUAAGGCAAUCCUUUGGAAAAUUGCACAUUUACAGCUUUUAUUUCCGUGCUAUUUCUGUACACUUGGAAAUAAAUUCUGAUUUCUCUUUUUCUUCUUGGCAUGUGGGACUCGAAGCACAAGGGAGCUUCUCACCGCAAGAAACAAAAGUGGAGAGCCAGAAUUCAUGAACUCUUUCAAAGCAUUUUCUGUUGUGGUUAAAGACUUAACAGGUUGCAUUUGCUUGGGAACCUAAGGCUGCCUGUUCUCUGAUGCCUGUGUUAUAGACAUCCCAGUCAAUCCUGCAUUGCAAGUGCACGUGAUGCUGUGGUUUUUCCUUGGCUCCUUGCAGCUCCUCUCAAGAAGCUGCAGA